GAAACGCUGGACCGAGAGCCGUGGUGACAACCUGGGGACACCCGCCCUGGAGUGUGGGUGAAAAUACUUAAUUUAACAUCCCCUGUGGUACACACAGAAGUUGGAACCGUCCGUGGCGUCAUUAGUAGGUGACAUGAAAAUUCAUUCGUGGGAUCCCUGUGUGUCGCAGGUUUGGCCCCUGCCUGUGGUCCGGGCGCGAUCCUGGAGAUCCGGGAUCGAAUCCCACGUCGGGCCCCGGUGCAUGGAGCCUGCUUCUCCCUCUGCCUGUGUCUCUGCCUCUCUGUCUCUCUCUCUGUGACUAUCAUGAAUAAAUAAAUAAACUCUUUAAAAAAAUUAAUUCAUUAAAUCGCCUCAAGAAAUCUUGUCCAGGGGCACCUGAGUGUUUCUGUCAGCUAAAUUUCGGCCUCCUGGUUUUCAGCUCUGGUCGUGACCUCAGGGUCUUCAGAUUCUCCCAUAUUCAGCAUGGAGCCUGCUUUGUACUCUCUCUUCCUUUCCCUCUGCCCCUCUCCUCGUUACACUUGCUGUUUUGCUCCCUCCACACACACACAAAAAGAAUCAUUACUCAAUUUUGCUGAAGGUGCCAUACUAAAGACAAAUAUACUAAGCCAUAUUCUUUUGUUUCAUGUGUGAUAAUAUUAAUUUAAAAGGUCAGUCAUUAGUUUGUGUCCAAAAUUAUGAAAUCGCAUUGAGAACUCUAAUUUGUUCAGAUUAAAGGGAAGUGUCGUAAGUUAUCAUUGGGCAUAUUAGUCCGUGUUUUAUAUUAGCAAAUAAAACUCUUAUUGUGUUUUAAUAAAUAGAGCAUAUUCUUGACGUUAAGGUCAGGUUUAUAUCAUAAUGCAGCAUAUAGUAUGAAAAAUUUACCCAUCACCCUAUUGUUUGGCACAAAACGUCCACAGGUAUUCUCACCAACAUCACUGUGGAACAUUUAUUACAAAAAAACGGUGUAGUGAUAUUAUUAUCAUUGACGUCGACCACUUCUAUUAAAGACUGCUCUGCAUUAGGGUGUGUUUUGACAUGUGCAUAAUAUUCUGUAACCCAGGACCCUGGGAUCAUGACACGAGCCAAAGAGAGAUGCUCAACCGAAGGAACCACCCUGCUGACCACAUUAUUAUGGCUUUUAAAUUCGGGUGAAGAUGACCCACAAGGUUACAUCUGUUUCAGGUGUACCACCUAUGAUUGGCACUUACGUUUAUUGAAACUGCACUCACCCCAAGCAUAGAUUCUUUGGGUCCCCAUAGAGCACUAUUACCAUUCCAUUGAUCAUAUUCCCUAUGCUGGACCUUUCACCCUAUGACUGCUUUGAUGUACAUGUGGAAGCCUGCCCUCCUCGCUCUUUUUCACAACUAUGGUUAUUUGUAAAUGGUACACAUUCGGUAUUUAAAUCUCUCCCAUAAUGGUUGAUUUUGAUAACGACAGAUUAAUGAAUAAAAACAACAGAGUAAUAGACUAAAAAAGAACAGAUUGAAGGAUUGCCCAACAUUGCACAAGCCCACCAUCUUUUGACGGUUGAAAUCAAGUGCAAAACCAUACAAGAGACAUGACAGCAUAUGUGGAUCUACAGAGGCAAAAAUGGUUUUGGAAGAGGUCAAGAAGGUAGGAACGUGGAGCUGGGUUUCACAACGAGCUCUAUGAGCGAAGGGAACCCAUCAUUGGAAUCGAUGUGCCCAUCAGUUCUCUUUUACACUGAUUAUUUCAUGAUACUUAAAGUUGCCAUUGCCUUUUUAAAAAAGUUUUUAUUUAUUUGAGAGAGACAGAGAGACAGCAAGAGAGAGCAUAUGCAAGGGAGAAGGGCAGAGGGAAGGGGAGAAGCACAACCCCUUUGAGCAGGGUGCCCAAAGAGGAGAUGGAUCCCAGACCCUGGGACCUUGGCCUGAGCUAAAGGUUUUUCCUCAUCCACCAAUGACGGCCUAGCAGUAGCCUCAUUACCAUGCUGACUUCCCCUGUAUGCAUGUAAACACUGAUCUCACUAAUACCUGAGCACCACAACCAAUGCACUGAUAUUCUGUGUCCUCCUAGAUCUUGCCAAGGCUGUGGCGUCUGAGUUUGAAGAAUCCUUGAAAGACUCUCCACCCACUUCUAUGGGAAGCCUGCCCCACUUUACCUGUAUUUACCUCGUCUCUUGGUGGGGUGUUGGGAGGGGAGGAUGUAAACUGUGCAGUAGGGGACAUUUGCUCAGAAGCACUUUUCCGCCUUGAAUUCUGAAUUUGGAAUUGCUGCUUCCGUCAACCUGGGAGAUCUAUCUCCCAGGAAAAGCUCAUGCUUUCUCCCUGGGUGCAAUCUGUGCUUCCUUUGGGGGCCUUUAACUUUACAACACUUGUUCAUUUGGUGUUCAAUACUCACCAGAGGGUCAAUGACAAAGUACACACACAUGAACUGACCCCCAUCUUCUCCCCUUUUGUGUAACUGCAGGUCGUCUCAGAAAGCAGCGUAACUGGUGUGUAUUCUGGAAUCAGUCUCUUGCUUAGGAAAAACUCUAAAUAGUAAGGCAGAUGGGGCAACCUUGCUGUCCUCACACCCAGACACCCUUGCUGUCCAGGCACCCAGAUUCCAUGUUCCUGAGGCUUGGGAGUGUGUGAGAUAGGCAGCUUUCCCAGUUUCAUCCUUGGAUUCAUUCCUCAUAAAAAAAUUCAUGGAAAACAUCAGUGAGGAAGAACAAAUCAGUAUCGUCAAGAGGAUGUUUACCAUUGGCAACACCAAAGCUGGAAAUAAACAGCGAGAUGGGGUACAUUCCCUCAGCAAUGGUUUCUCCUGCUUGGUUGAGUGAUCCUGUAGUCAGCAUCUGAAUGAGCUGGAGAGACACAUCCUUCAGGAAAAGCAGCUUCCUCCAGGUGGCCUCAGAACUAGUGACAGCAGUACGUACCCUGAAGCAGUCUCUUCCUGUCUUUAGUCAGGAGCGCCAAUCUGAUUCUGGGUCCUCACUGGAAUGAAAAUCACCGGUGUAGUGAAAUAAACAAAAACCAAAACCAGAAAACGGGUCUUCCAGGUGGAGACCCAUGGACAUGUUUUCACAAGCAAAGGGGUAGCAUUCAGAUUGGGCAGUGGAGAAUAUGAGGAUGAAAAUCCUGAAGAGGAAGAAACCUCAGGUCCGGAAGCACAAUGAGGCGGGAAUCAACAGGAGGGGGUCCCUGGUGCAGUUGGAGUAUACCUGCUACUUUGUAGACUGUGAGUGGGCAGGAUGAAAUAAAGAAGACGAUGUAUAGGAAUGCAAUUGUCUUGUUUUUCAUUUAUUGUUUACUUAUUUGAGAGAGAAAGAGGAGAAUGGGAAGGGCGGAGGGAGAGGGAUAUUCAGACCCCGCACUGAACAGGGAGCCUGAUACAGGCCUGAUCCCAGGGUCCUGGGUAAUGAUCCAAGCUGCAGUCAGACACUUAACCUACUGAGCCACGAAAGUGCUCUUCUCUGGUCUAUUCCAUCAUAAACAGUAGGGUAUUUGGAUAAAAUAGUAAGAAGAAUUCUGCCCUGGGAUUGGAUUGUGCAGUUGGUCAUAUUCUUCUUUUUAUUUGACGGUCAUUCUCUGCAGACCAGCUCUGACUCCCUUUGUCACUGGCAAGCAUCAAAGCCCUUGUUGUGUUUGGUUGGCAUCUCUUGGGAAUAGAGCAGGAGACCUUUUGGUUCGGGUUAUUGCCUUUGGUCUUGGAUGGAGCCAAUCUCUUGAUACACAGCUGUGCCACGCCCAUCUGAACUUGUACACAGACAGCUUCCGUGGGAGCCAGGUGCUGGUACAGCCGGGGCCCCACUCCCUCUGCACCUACAGGUCACACAGUAGCAAUGCUGGGCUACCCCCAGUUCUGCCCAAAGGGUGGAAGUGCACUCUAGGGAUGGGCAUCCCUGAAAUGGUCCCUCUCAGCAUCUCCUCCUGGGUCCAGCAGAAGUGAGGUGGGAGGGGUGCCGGGAGCACAGUUCCCUCCUCCCCUCCUCGCACAAUCCUCAGUCCUGGGACAAGAAUAAGAUCUGCACUUGCCUCUGUGUGAGAAGGGAUCCAGUGCAGCCAGCCAAGGCCUUCACUGGGUGCAGGGAAUCUAGAGGAAUCUGUGAAAGCUGCUGGGCUGGCGGCACACGCUUGUGCUCAAGGUCCUGCAGAACUAGCCUCCUGGUCUGACCAGGCCCAGGACACAGGCCCUAGGCAGGGAGGCCAGCAUUUCUGCUCCUGUCUGAUCUCACUGCUAUAGCCACACAGUGCUGGGCCUGCUCCCCACGUCAAGGGUUGGCCCAGCCUAGGACAUUCCCUCAUGCCUGCCUGGAGCCCAUGGCCCAGUCCUUCCAGGGAUCAGGGCAGAUGCUGGCUCGAGCUGGUAUUGAGGAGGCCUCACCUGCUGUACAAACCCCAUCAGCCCACUUUUAAGCUAAGGGAAAUUGGGCAACAUAGUUUACCUCUAGCAUCACAUUCAUCUCCUCUAUGGGCUACGACAUGUAUGGGCUGUUCCAAAGAUUCAGUGUGUCCCAGAUUUAGGAGUCUCAUGGUUUGUCUCCCUCUCUAAUUUUUCCCACUCAAUCCCCCUCCUUUCCCUCAUUAUCUUGUUCCUAUUUCUUCUAUUCCAGGAGGAGAGCACUUGAUGGCAUGAGCACUGGGUGUUACACUAUAUGUUGGCAAACUGAAUUUACCUAAACAUAAAUAAAAUUUUUUUAAAAAGAAUAAAGGUUAAGUUUGUCUCAAGUACCUAAGAUCACCCCACGCAUAAAGCAGUCACAUUAUAAGCCCAGUGGGAUAUCACUCUCAGGGCUACAUGCAACCCCAACCCGUAGGCCCCCAGGCCCAUUGCACCUACUCCAGCAUUGCCUGGAUUGGCUCUUUGAUCAACUGAUUAAGGAGGGGAGCCCCAGGCACUGAGACUGUGGUCUCCUUGUUGCCCUCAAAAGCCAUACAAAAUUUGGAAGGACAGAAAAGCAGGAGACCUCAUUUACCCAGAAAAACACCCCUUUUGAGGUUCUUAUGUUCCUGAGGUUCCAAGCAUCUCCCUGUGUCAUUUCACUCCAUUUGGUAGAAGGUUCUUGCUCAUCAUUUAAUGUCCAAGUUACUUACUGAGGGGAACUGGGUGGCUCCUUCAGGGAAGCAUCUGACUCUUUUUUUUUUUUUAUAAAUUAAUUUUUAUUGGUGUUCAAUUUACCAACAUACAGAAUAACACCCAGUGCUCAUCCCGUCAAGUGUCCCCUUCCGUGCCCGUCACCCAGUCACCCCCACCCCCCGCCCUCCUCCCCUUCUACCACCCCUAGUUCGUUUCCCAGAGUUAGGAGUCUUUAUGUUCUGUGUCCCUUUCUGAUAUCUCCCACACAUUUCUUCUCCCUUCCCCUUCACUAUUAUUCAUAUUCCCCAAAUGAGUGAGAACAUACACUGUUUGUCCUUCUCCGAUUGACUUACUUCACUCAGCAUAAUACCCUCCAGUUCCAUCCACGUUGAAGCAAAUGGUGGGUAUUUGUCGUUUCUAAUGGCUGAGUAUUACUCAGCAUCUGACUCUUGAUUUCAGCUCAGCCCAUUCUCUCAAGAGCCUGAGAUCCAGCCCCUCGUGGGAUUCCUCACUGGGCAUGAAACCUUCCUAGGAUUCUCUGCCUCCCUCUUCCUCAGCCCAUUCAUAUCCAAAUUGGCCUUCCCUCAAACUAUAUUAAAAAUAAUAAACGUGAACUGCAAUAAAAAUUUUUUUAAUGAAAAUAAAUAAAUAUUUGCUCAAUGACUGAUUCUUCCAGUUGUUUACCACCUGCUUGUCUGCCGACUUUGUCUUGUUUUCAUUUUCAUUCACCUUUUGCCUUAAUUCUUUCAAGCUAUCUUUCCUGAACAUAACGUCCUAGGCUCAGAGGUGUUUUCCUUCUAUACUUUGAGUCACCAUUGCAGUGUCUUCUGACCUCUGUUUUCUGAGAAGUCACGGGCCUUGGAAUUCGUAUUCUGUUAGGUUGAAUGUGUCCUUUUCCUCUGCUUUCAAGGUUUUUCUUCCUCUUUGCCAGCAGAUUGGUUACAAUGUGUCAGGAGGAGG